GUCUCCUAAUAUUAAAAUACCAAAUAAACACUUGAGUGAAAUUUUGUUUGCCCUGUAUCACCUUCACUCCCUCACUCACGCAAUACACACCCUCCUCCUCACUCAACACACACGAAGAAAUCAGAAAGCUAAGGGGGAGAACAGGAAGAAGAAGAGAGGAGAGGGAAGGAAGAACGAUGGCGGCUAACUGGCUAGGGAUCUGCCGUCGUCGUCGUCGAAUGCCAGUGAGAGAGAGAGAGAGCUCGAGGAAGAGAAAACGCAAUGGAGGAGAGAAGAAAGGAGUGCUCCGUCGCCGUUGAAGCUCCACCGCCGCUGCUAGGGCUUGUUGUCGUCGCCGUUCUGCCACCGCCAGGCUGAUGUACCGCCGCCGAGGAUCUCGAAUGGGAUGUCUCACCGCCGUUGUGCUCUGUCGCCGCGCUGCCAUCGACUGGAGCUCGUCGCUGAGUUGCUGCACCGUCUCCAAGCCGUUACGUCGCCGCUCAUCUCUUCUUCACCGUCGCCGCUCAUCACCAUGGUCGUAUCCUCUGUCACCAGAUAUAGAAAAACUUUAAGGGACGAUGAACAAAGAUUUUAACAGGGUCGCUAUUCUAUAGCAUCUGCAGUUCUGCUCUUAAAGGUGAUAGCCGUAGCAGUAGCAAUUGGUGUUGAAAUACAUGCAAUUUUUCAUCUUUCUUGCGACUUCCUUCGCCUCCUUCGUGCAAGCCCUCAAAAGUACAAGCCACACCUUGGUUCAGGAGAAACAGGAUUAAGCUUCCUAAACCACUCAACAGUCUAACUGGCUUCAAUGCAUUUUGGUACUCACAUCAUCUCUUUGUCAUUGUCUAUGCCUCGUUGAUUGUUCAUGGAAUCAAACUUUUCUUUACCAAAGAGUGGUACGAGAAAACGGGGUCUGAUUUAGAUAGUUUAUUAGAGUAGAAUAAUGUAACAUCUUCAGGCGGCCGU